CCCCUAGUAACUGCGAGUGAAGCGGGAAAAGCUCAAAUUUAAAAUCUGGCGUCCUUUGGUCGUCCGAGUUGUAAUCUAGAGAAGUGUUUUCUGUGCUGGACCGUGUACAAGUUUCUUGGAACAGAACAUCAUAGAGGGUGAGAAUCCCGUCUUUGACACGGACUGCCAGUGCUCUGUGAUGCACUCUCGAAGAGUCGCGUUGUUUGGGAAUGCAGCGCAAAAUGGGUGGUGAAUUCCAUCUAAAGCUAAAUAUUGGCGAGAGACCGAUAGCGAACAAGUACCGUGAGGGAAAGAUGAAAAGCACUUUGGAAAGAGAGUUAAACAGUACGUGAAAUUGUUGAAAGGGAAACGCUUGAAGUCAGUCGCGUCUUGCGGAACUCAGCCUUGCUUCUCUGCUCGGUGUAUUUUCCGUUCGACGGGCCAGCAUCGAUUUCGACCGUCGGAUAAAGUGUGAGGGAAUGUGGCAUCUUCGGAUGUGUUAUAGCCCUCGCUCGCAUACGACGGUCGGGAUCGAGGACCGCAGCACGCCUUUUUGGCCGGGGUUCGCCCACGUACGUGCUUAGGAUGCUGGCGUAAUGGCUUUAAACGACCCGUCUUGAAACACGGACCAAGGAGUCUAACAUGCCUGCGAGUGUUUGGGUGGAAAACCCAUGCGCGCAAUGAAAGUGAAAGUUGGGACCUCUGUCGUGGAGGGCACCGACGCCCGGUCUUGAGCCUCGGCGACGGAUCCGCGGUGGAGCAUGUAUGUUGGGACCCGAAAGAUGGUGAACUAUGCCUGAAUAGGGUGAAGCCAGAGGAAACUCUGGUGGAGGCUCGUAGCGAUUCUGACGUGCAAAUCGAUCGUCAAAUUUGGGUAUAGGG
rnacentral:rRNA from 1 species